rnacentral:rRNA from 1 species
GACGAACCGUGCGAACGUUGUUCGGAAUCACUGGGCUUAAAGGGCGCGUAGGCGGGCUACCAAGUCUGUGGUGAAAUCCUCCGGCUCAACCGGAGAACGGCCGUGGAUACUGGGAGCCUCGAGGGAGAUAGGGGCAGGCGGAACUGAUGGUGGAGCGGUGAAAUGCGUUGAUAUCAUCAGGAACUCCGGUGGCGAAGGCGGCCUGCUGGAUCUCACCUGACGCUGAUGCGCGAAAGCCAGGGGAGCAAACGGG